GCCAGACUCCUACGGGAGGCAGCAGUGGGGGAUAUUGCACAAUGGGGGGAACCCUGAUGCAGCGACGCCGCGUGGGCGAAGGAGCGUUUCGGCGCGUAAAGCCCUCUCGGCAGGGAAGAAGGAGGACGGUACCUGACUAAGAAGCCCCGGCUAACUACGUGCCAGCAGCCGCGGGAAUACGUAGGGGGCAAGCGUUAUCCGGAUUCACUGGGCGUAAAGGGAGCGCAGGCGGCACGGCAAGUCUGGUGUGAAAGCCCGGGGCCCAACCCCGGGACUGCAUUGGAAACUGCCGGGCUGGAGUGCCGGAGGGGUAAGCGGAAUUCCUGGUGUAGCGGUGAAGUGCGCAGAUAUCAGGAAGAACACCGGUGGCGUAGGCGGCUUACUGGACGGCAACUGACGCUGAGGCUCGAAAGCGUGGGGAGCAAACAGGAUUAGAUACCCGAGUA
rnacentral:rRNA from 1 species